CCUAAAGGCUCUGUCUGGUGAUGGCACCACCUCCCUGGGUAGACCAUUCCAAUAGCUACUCACCCUUUGUGUGAAGAAUUUCUUCCUGAUGUCCAACAUAAACCUCCCUGACACAGCUUAGGAGAUAAACAGCCCCAGCUCCUUCAGCUACUCCUCACAGAAGGAGCUCCAGACCCUUUACCAGCUGAGUAGCACUACAGCAGAGAGAAGUGAAAAGAAGAUACUUUCAGUUGAUGAUGCCUGUCUUGCAGAUUCAGUGGAAAAAUAGGAAUGAGCUAAGUAACUUAUACAGCAGUCUCAGACCGGUGUUGGUGACCCUCUUCAUACCCUAUGUACACGAUCUGGGCACAAUCUCAAGCUGGAACCAAAGUGCUCUAGAGAGA